GAUGAAGAACGCAGCGAAAUGCGAUAAGUAAUGCGAAUUGCAGAAUUCCCGUGAGUCAUCGAAUCUUUGAACGCACCUUGCGCUCCUUGGUAUUCCGAGGAGCAUGCCUGUUUGAGUGUCAUGAAAUUCUCAACCUUUUCAGCUUUCUUUGUUGAUCAGGCUUGGAUGUGGGAGUAUGCGGGCUUCUCAGAAGUCGGCUCUCCUGAAAUGCAUUAGCGGGACCUUUGUUGCCUGGCUUUGGUGUGAUAAUUAUCUACGCCAUUGUGGUCAAGCAGCUUAAAAUGAGGUUUCAGCUUCUAACCGUCUCCCCUGAGACAACUUUUUGACAAUUUGACCUCAAAUCAGGUAGGACUACCCGCUGAACUUAAGCAUAUCAAUAAGCGGAGGA
rnacentral:misc_RNA from 1 species